UAUAGUUAACUAAAACUCCUGAACACCCUAAAAUAAAUGACACACAUAAAUGAGUAGGGUCAGUGCUUAUGCUGUUUAUAUUUUUUUCCUGUGCCCAUGUUAAAGUCCGUGUAAAGCAAUAUUAAAUGUGUUUGUAACCACCCAGCCAAAUUCGAACGAUUAAAAACCACCAAGUAAAUAAAAUAAAGUAUCAAAAUCUUGAAAAAGUCAUUUCUGCUCUCAAACGCCGGGGGGCGUGUCCGCUGUCAGCGCUGAAACCACGCCCACUCGCGGGAAAGCUGCCGCCUCUCUCUGUCAAAUACUGCUAAAAUCCAGACAUCAUUGGUAAUGUUAUUGUUUUAGUGCUUAUGCAAACAAGAAGUAAUUUUAUGUGUUGUUUGUUGAUUUUAAAUAUAACACUCGGUGAAACGAUUUAUGCGUCAGUACGUUUUGAACAUUUCCAGCACAUUUUAACAAUAACGUGAUAGGCCUACUACUGAUAACCGUGGUAAUUUUGGUCACUAUGAAAAGAAAUUUUCAUACCGUUUCAUCUCUAGUCCUGUCCCACCCACAUACAAUGGUUCCGACGCCCAUGGUUUAGCUACUUGCUUGAGCAACGUAACAUAUAAAUCUAAAAGUAAAACGCAUUGAAUAAUACGUUGCUUAUAUUUAUUGCAUUUAAACGUAAAUAUGUAUAUGUAAGACUGAAUGAAAAUGAAAAGAGAAUCAAUGCUGAAAAAUGUCUAAUAGCUCAACAAUACUUGACCAUGAAGAAAGAAGAAACCACUUCGAAUUCGGUGUUUUCAGUGAAACAGUACAUUAAACAUGAUGUUCAUUUCAUCCCGACGUCCUAACGCCUACUACCUGUGCUAGGAUCCACACUGUAACAUGGGCAUUAGAAACAAUGUGUCUGUUUUGAAUACGCUUUUCUCUUUUGGCUUAGGUGCAUGUUUAAGAUUCCUGCGCACUCCAAACUCAAUGCCUACAGCAGUUUGUUUGAGUCGGACUUAGUGCCAACCCUGGACGGGGAAAGAGGAACUGCUCCAUGUCAAAUGCUAAUUACGGGAUGGUCAGCUGCACCAAGACAAUUUAUUGUUGUAAGAACUUGUAAAAGAUCUUUCCUCUUUCCUAAACAGAAUUUUUUUAAGGUCUGUUCACGCAGCCAAGAUAAUCAUGAAGUAAUACUAUAUAAUUAUAAGACAAUCAGAAGAACCCAAUGUAUAACAGUGAUGGUGGGUCUUCAAGUUACAAAGCAAUGUUUUGAGGCUGUUAGUUUGUGUGUUAGAUCUGAGCCAAUCUUUUUUGAACCAUUCAUAUCUAAAUGUUGCUCCCUCUAAUAUCCCUUGCCUCGAUCUAUCAAACAACAGCACGUAGGAAAUCAUAACUCACACCUGAGACAUUAAGUAAUGGUCAUAAA